rnacentral:rRNA from 1 species
CACGUAGGGCGCGAGCGUUGUCCGGAAUUAUUGGGCGUAAAGAGCUCGUAGGCGGUUCGUCGCGUCGGCUGUGAAAACCCGGAGCUCAACUCCGGGCCUGCAGUCGAUACGGGCGGACUCGAGUUCGGCAGGGGAGACUGGAAUUCCUGGUGUAGCGGUGAAAUGCGCAGAUAUCAGGAGGAACACCGGUGGCGAAGGCGGGUCUCUGGACAUUUCCUGACGCUGAGGCACGAAAGCCAGGGGAGCAAACGGG